UUUUUCAUUUUUUAUUAUCAGAUCUGUCGGGCCUCAAAAAUUAGCAACCAAAGUUGCAGAGUCAACUAGUGUCUUUUUUGAGUUUUUUUUUUCAUUGCUAGUAAAUUUUUAAAUUCGAGCAAAAAAGAAAUACAUAAUUGCUCAUGCUUGGUUUAUUUUGCAAGAGCAAAGAAUAUCCUCAGAUACUAUAGCCUGAUAACAUUUUUUGGAUUGCAUGAUGAGAAAGAGGCCUUAGAUUUUAUUAUGAUGUAAAAGUGUAACGAACAUGCGGAAAUGAGAUUAUCAUUGUGGACCAUGGCAUCAACUAGACAACAAAUCUGCUGAGGCAGCUCAUGAAAAUGGCCCCUUUUUUUUCCUGCUGAGAGAUGCUUCAUGCCAUCGUAGGCCUUAAUUAAGUUCAUCAAAAUUAAGUUGAAAUUCGAAAUUUGUUGGUGCUUUGAGGAGAGGGAUACAAGGUUCUUCCCCUCAAGCUCAAGUCUCAAGGGAUUGAGAAAUUUAAGUUUUGGGUUUGCUGCGUGUCAGAGGAGGAAGGAUUUUUAAUUCCAUAAAUAAACUUUAUGGAUGAACUAUAUAUACUUUUUGAACUUACUAACAUUUAAGGGGUUUAUUGUGCAUGAAAUAGAUUAAAGGUAAAUUGUACUCCUAUUUGUAUUUUGAUCUUUACUACCAAACCUAAAACUAACUCUUUACUAUUAAGUUCACAAUCCCAACUAACCCUUUUCAGAGCCCGCAUUAGUGUUAGUGACGACAAAAGCAAAGAGGAAAUUAUAAUUAUUAUUGCUUGGCCCACGCUGAUUUCGGUGCAUAAUUUGCAAAUUUGUUCCUCUUUAACAAGUUUGUGCAGUAAAACAGGUGGGGGAAGUGGGCCACAUGCACUACAACUUGCACGCAUGAAAGCGAAAUGUUGAAUAUUACCCCGAAAUAACUAGUGUCCUCUAUGCAAUUGGUUUUAAUUAUUGCAGAACUUGAAUUAAUGAAUGACUAAGCUUCAAAAUAAAGAGUAAGGAACCUCUUCUCAAUGCUCACCAACCCAAGGGUGUAAGAUGUCACACAAUUUCUCAAUUCAAGGUUGAUUGCUAAAGCAAGCACAAGUCAAAACUUGAAGUGCACAAUGACUUGUCUUCCGUGGUUGGUCAUUAUUUGUUUCUUAACUUUGCACCAACCCCAGAAUGUUAAUAAUAAAUUAUGACAUCAUCAUUCCAUGAAUUCUCUCUCUGCUUUUUUAGGGAAUUUGUCUUUGGUAUAUAGAGCUCUUUGUUUAUUCUUUUGGGGUGUUUAAUUUAGACUUUGUUUUUUUAUUUGAAGACAUCACAGCAAAACUAGUUACGGAAAUUUCACGAAGUAUUUGCAAAUGGGCUAUCCUGAAAGGUACAGGAGUGUCAUUUCAAAGAACACUAUAAGAAAGAAUGUAGCUACUUUGGAGCACGAGAUUUUUCCUUCAGAAGACAAGAAAGGAAGGAUAAAAAAGGCAUAUGCGUAAAAUAUUAUAGCAAAUUCGGAAGGAUGUAGAUUUUUAGCGACUAGAGACCAUAAGAAUUGAUAUUGACUUAAAAUAAGAAAACAAGUGUGAAUGUGUGAUUGUCAUGUAAUGUUAGAGAUAAUUGGUGGAGAGUGAAAUGCACUUAUAGUACUUGCAAUAAUGCGGAAUUUAUAUUUUUACCCGAAUGAAAGAUUUUAUUUCUCUCUUGAGAAGAUAUUUAAGAGCAUACAAUUCAUUGUUU